UUAUUUUUAAAAAAAAAAUUGAAUUUUUUUACAUUUAUUGACCGCAUCAUCGCGAUGCACCCGCAUCCAGACCACAUCGAGCCACAUCGUCGCAUCGGCCCCCCACCUCAUCAAGGCCGCAUCCUUCAUUUUAAAACACUGUUUGAAACCUAAAACCCAUUAGAGCCUAUUUUAGAGCGAGAAAAACCCCAAAAAAAAUUUCUUUUUACUGGGCCGCAGCGGUUCUGAGCGCUCACCUAGGUGCUGGGCGGCUUAGACCCCUGGCCGCCUAGCGCCUUUUGAAACACUGAUGCUAAGUGAUGCAGCACCUUCAAAGGCCUGAUGUUCCCUACCUGCACCAAGCGAUUCAGCCCUCCAGAGGACCUCGCGUCCCAGAUCUGCACCAAGCGAUUCAGACCUCCUGUCCUCAAGCUGAACCUAGCGAUUCAGCCCUCUAUGGGGCCUUCUGUUUAUAACCUACACAAGGUUAUUCAGCCAUGUCCUAGAGCAAUUGUUGCUUCGCCAAUUAUAGCACCACCAGCUCUCCUUCAGGAUUGAGUUCUCUGCCUAUUGCUGGGGUCGCACCUCAUGUACAAGAGCAAGCACCUCCUGUACAGUCUCUCUACUUGAAAGAAACAGCAAGUGUUUUCCCAAGCUCGUAAAGCCAUUAUAUCUCCUAGUGGUCUUCACUGCCCAAGCAAAGGCAUCACGUUUCCUCGGAGGCCUGGGUAUGGAGAGGCUGGUCGGUUGAUAAAGUUGAAGGCAAAUUUCUUCCAUUUGGAGUUGCCCCAAAAAGAUGUUUACCACUAUAAUGUGAGUUAGGUUCUUUCUCAAGCUUUGUGAUGCAUGUGCGUCACUUAUUGCAUGUUGGGCUUGUAGAUCUAAUUUAUGAGUAUCGUCUAUGAGAAACAUCAAAUGAUUUGUUUAACUCGUAAUGUGUUAAUAUGGGGGAAUCUAAUUGCGACUAGUUUGUUACAAAUAAUGUGUAAGUAUUUAGGUUUAACAGCAUCUCAUUUGCAAUGGUUGAUCCCGAGGCUGACUUGGUGCCUGAGCGUCACUUUAAUCUGGGAUAUUGUUGGGCUGCCUUGGCACCUGAGCUUAGAUUUUGAAGGAGACUUUGUCCACAUCCAUACAUUUUUCAGUUUCUAUCUUUCCUGAAAGCCUUGUUAUCCUUCUCUUAUGAUAUUUCUUUUGUCCUCACUUUUGAAGAUCCCAACUCUCCUUUAUGUAAUGUGAGCUUACUUUAAACUUUUUAAAGUUUGGAGCAUUUUAAACUGUAUUGAGGUUGUAGAUGGCAGAUGUGGGGGAAGCUAAUAGAUUAUAUACUUAUAUUAAUUUACUUUUUUUCCUUAAUCUUCGUAAUCAAAGUAAGUUAUUGCCUUGUAGGUUUUAGCUUUUUUGAGAACGUUCCUAGUUGACUUGUCCUAGGUGGUCAUCCUUUUCUCUGAUGAGCUGACGAUCCGAUUGUCCAACCGGGAAAAUGUGUAAGGGCGACUUGAGAGGGCUCCCGAUUGCCUAGUGCUUUUGAAUGUUGUGGUGCUAGAUUUAAUCAUUCAGCAUAUCAAAAUAUUUCUAUAACAUACAAACGAGAGGCUUAGGUACAUACACGCACAUAUGGAGAAGUGUAUGAUGGUAGCAAUUGCCCUACUCUUCAGAAUGCACAUCAACUAUCCAUUGUGAACAGAAAAUGGUUGAUGUAUUUUGUUUCAAUGCAUAAGUCUGUCAUGCCCAGAGAAAAUGGCUGAUAUAAACACAAAUGCAUUUGUAGGGUACGACCUCCAAAUGUUGUGUUCAACAGAGAAUCUAGCCAAAUCAGCCAUCUUAUCUGAAUAAUAUAACGCAACCUCCCAAAUGUUGUCCUCAACAGAUAACCUAGCCAAAUUAGCCAUCUUAUCUGAAUAAUAUAAAAUGCAUAUAUGAUACGCUAUACCAUUCGGCCAAUCUGGAUACCGAUUCAGAUAAUUUGGAUCGGUAUUAGUGGGUAGGGGCUCCAGCCUACUGAUCCAUUUUUUGAAAGUGUACAAUGAAUGUCAGGAAUUUACAAACACAUCACUAAUAGUUUGCAUUUUUUAAUGUCAUUGCACAUGCUUAUAGUUGUGUUUGCUUCCAGGUAACCAUUUCUCCCAAGUACCAUCAAGGCACACUAAUCAUGCAGUUAUCUCUGAACUCAGAGAAAUUCAUGGAGAUAAGGAACUGAGCAAUUGUUAGCCUGUCUAUGAUGUUAAAAAAAAAAUAUUGCUGGAAAAUUACCACUUUCAUCAAAGAAGUUUACAAUAAGAUUAACCCAGGAAGAAAGGUACUCUAUCUUCGGUUUGCUUGGCAACUCAUGUGAAUCCAUGGAGCUAUUCUUCAACAUAAAACAUAACUCUCUGGUUAAUGCAUCUGACAAGCUUUUCGAAAUUCUUCCUUAAUGAAUGAGGUCUUAUUGAUAAAAUGGUGGUGGCGUAGUUUAUGUUUCAAGGACCAGCUUUGUUGCAAGGUCUUAACUGCAAAAUAUGGUGUGGAUAACUAUGGUAUAUGGAUUGGAGAUAGUAGAAGAAGUAAAUUGAUGUCUGUGCUUUGUUGCAAGGUCUUAACUGCAAAAUAUGGUGUGGAUAACUAUGGUAUAUGGAUUGGAGAUAGUAGAAGAAGUAAAUUGAUGUCUGUUUUUUGGAAGGAUAUAUUUUUGUUCAAAGCCUAUCUCCAUAGAGACAUUCGAUGGUGUAUGGGGAAUGGAGCCCAAAUUCCAUUUUGGCAUCAUAAGUGGCUUGGGGAUAGUCUUUUGAAGAUCGCUUUCCCUGAAUUAUUCGCUAAGACUUCUUAUCCUAAUGCUUUGAUAAGUGAUACUUAUCAGGUGGUAUGGGAUAUUCAGUUUCCUUAUAACCAUGUAAAUGAUAAUAUGGUGGCACAUAUCACGGGCUUGUUAGCACAUUUAUAGGAAGUGUGUAUAUCCAAUUAUAUUGGUGAUGAGUUGGUUUGGGAGCACAGUAAGGAUGGUCUUUUUUCGGUAAAAACAAUAUACGCUCUUGUUUCAUGAUCGCUACAGAUGGUCUUCCCAAAUAUGUAAGUGGUCUAUUUCUCACAAAGUUUAGUGUUUUAUGUGGUUGGCUGGGCAAAAUAAAGUUCUUACCCUUGAUAAUCUCAUUAAAUGAAGAAAGAUCUUACCCAAUGUAUGCUUAAUGUGUAAAGAGGACGGGGAGUCGUUUUCAUAUCUAUUUCUUCGUUGUCGCCUUGCCAUAGGUAUUUGAAACUAUUUCUUUGGUUUGAUUAGCUUUAUGAUGACUCUACCUCAAAGUGGUUUGGGUAUCAUCUCACAAUUGAUGUUUUCGGCUCUACUUAAAGCGGGGUCUAUGAUUUGGCAAAUUGUAAGAGGUAUUAUGUGUUGGGAAAUUUGGAAAGAGAGGAAUAGACGUACUUAAAAAUGUCAAGGGCUUUCUGAUGAUGAUCUUCUACAGCGUAUACUUCAUACUAUAUGGAGUCGGGUAUCUAUCACCAAAGAUGGAAGAGGCAUUACUGAGAUCGAUGUGCGUUUAAAUUUGGCCAAUCUUGCUUUUCUAAUAGGACAAGGCCAAGAAUGAACGGUAGAUGGAUACCCCCUGUACUAGGUUGUUUGAAACUAAAUUUUGAUGGUAGUUCUAUGGGUAAUCCUGAGAAUGCAAGGGUUGGAGGUGUAGUGCAAGAUUGGACUGGGUCAAUUAUUCUCUCUUAUGCUGGAACUAUUGAGUGGGCAAUGGCGAACAUGGCAGAAUUCACAGCGUUGCUUAAAGGAUUGUUGUUUAUUAAAGCCUUGAAUUUGGGCCAUUGCAUUGUUGUGGAAGGUCAUUAUUUAAAUAUGAUAAAGUGGUGCAACAAGCAACUUCAUGUUCCUUGGAUGUUGCAAUCAAUUUGGGGCCAAGUUUUGGACUUAGAAGGGGUAUUAUCUUUAUCCUUCUAGCAUGUGUUCAGAGAAUAUAAUGGUAUUAUUGAUGGAUUGGCUAAGAGAGGGGUGUCGAUAGAUUCUAUUUCGAUUUUGAAUGAUGUAACUACUGAGUGAUGUGAGUGCUGAGAGUUGUAAUCAUGGUUUAG